rnacentral:misc_RNA from 1 species
GGGGACUACUGGGGUAUCUAAUCCUGUUUGCUCCCCACGCUUUCGUGCAUGAGCGUCAGUGUUAUCCCAGGGGGCUGCCUUCGCCAUCGGUAUUCCUCCACAUCUCUACGCAUUUCACUGCUACACGUGGAAUUCUACCCCCCUCUGACACACUCUAGCCGUGCAGUCACAAAUGCAGUUCCCAGGUUAAGCCCGGGGAUUUCACAUCUGUCCUACACAACCGCCUGCGCACGCUUUACGCCCAGUAAUUCCGAUUAACGCUUGCACCCUACGUAUUACCGCGGCUGCUGGCACC